AACGAACGCUGGCGGCAUGCCUAACACAUGCAAGUCGAACGAGACCUUCGGGUCUAGUGGCGCACGGGUGCGUAACGCGUGGGAACCUGCCCUUAGGUUCGGAAUAACUCCCCGAAAGGGGUGCUAAUACCGGAUAAUGUCUUCGGACCAAAGAUUUAUCGCCUUUGGAUGGGCCCGCGUUGGAUUAGCUAGUUGGUAGGGUAAAAGCCUACCAAGGCGACGAUCCAUAGCUGGUCUGAGAGGAUGAUCAGCCACACUGGGACUGAGACACGGCCCAGACCCCUACGGGGGGGAGGAGGGGGGAAUAUGGGACAAGGGGCGAAAGCCUGAUCCAGCAAUGCCGGGGGAGUGAUGAAGGCCUUAGGGUUGUAAAGCUCUUUUACCCGGGAUGAUAAUGACAGUACCGGGAAAAUAAGCCCCGGCUAACUCCGU
rnacentral:rRNA from 1 species